AGUGAACGCUGGCGGUAGGCCUAACACAUGCAAGUCGAACGGCAGCACGGGAAGAGCUCGCUCUUACGGGUGGCGAGUGGCGGAUGGGUGACAAGUGCAUCGGAAUCUACUCAUUCGGGGGUGAUAACGUAGGGAAACAUACACUAAUACCGCAUACGACCUACGGUUGAGAUCAGGAGAUCUUUGGACCUUGCGUGACGGAAUGAGCCGAUGCCGGAUUCGCUAGUUGGCUUGGUAAUGGCCCAGCAAGGCGACGAUCCGCAGCUGGCCUGAGAGGAUGCUCCGCCCCACUGGACCUGAGACACGGUCCAGCCUCCUACGGGAGGCCGCCGUAGGGAAUAUUCGACCAUGGGCGCAAGCCUGAUCCAGCCAUGCCGCGUGCGUGAAGAAGGCCUUCGGAUUGUACAGCCCUUUUGUUGGGAAAGAAAAUCUGUGGGUUUAUCCCCCGCUGUUAUGACGGUACCCAACCACUAAGCACCGGCUAACUUCGUG
rnacentral:rRNA from 1 species